rnacentral:rRNA from 1 species
AUUGAACGCUGGCGGAAUGCUUUACACAUGCAAGUCGAACGGCAGCACGGGGGCAGCCCUGGUGGCGAGUGGCGAACGGGUGAGUAAUACAUCGGAACGUGCCCUGUCGUGGGGGAUAACGUAGCGAAAGUUACGCUAAUACCGCAUACGAUCUGAGGAUGAAAGCGGGGGACCUUCGGGCCUCGCGCGAUCGGAGCGGCCGAUGUCAGAUUAGGUAGUUGGUGGGGUAAAGGCCUACCAAGCCGACGAUCUGUAGCUGGUCUGAGAGGACGACCAGCCACACUGGGACUGAGACACGGCCCAGACUCCUACGGGAGGCAGCAGUGGGGAAUUUUGGACAAUGGGCGCAAGCCUGAUCCAGCCAUUCCGCGUGCAGGACGAAGGCCUUCGGGUUGUAAACUGCUUUUGUACGGAACGAAAAGGCUCUGGCUAAUACCUGGGGCUCAUGACGGUACCGUAAGAAUAAGCACCGGCUAACUACGUG